GCUGAGGAUCAUGGGUAGGCUAACGUCACCUUCCCACUGGGCGCCAUCGGUCUUUUGAAUUUUCCUCAGAACAGCCAGUGGACCAGGAAUGAGCGGCUGCAGCUGCUGAGUUGUCCAGAUCACUGUUACUAUCACAACAUCACACGCUGCAUUCUUCUUUGCCACGAUGCCCUCAUUCAGUAUAGUGGAGUUCGUGGAUGAAGUUGACUCUGAUGGCUGCAAAAAAAGUGGAUAUUAUUCCAUUA